UACGAGGGGGGCAAAUGUUGUUCGGAAUCACUGGGCGUAAAGGGAGCGUAGGCGGGUUUCUAAGUCAGGUGUUUAAUCCCGGGGCCCAACCCCGGACAGGCACUUGAAACUGGGAAUCUUGAAUAGGGGGAGAGGUCAGUGGAAUUGGAGGUGUAGCGGUGGAAUGCGUAGAGAUCUCCAAGAACACCAGUUGCGAAGGCGGCUGACUGGACCCCAUAUUUGACGCUGAGGCUCGAAAAGCAUGGGGGAGCAAAACAGGAUUAGAUACCCCCCAGUAUCC
rnacentral:rRNA from 1 species